rnacentral:rRNA from 1 species
UACGAAGGGUGCAAACGUUGCUCGGAAUUAUUGGGCGUAAAGCGCACGUAGGCGGCAUUGCAAGUCGGAUGUGAAAUCUUAUGGCUUAACCAUAAAAGUGCAUCCGAAACUGCAGUGCUUGAGUACUUAAGAGGAUCGCGGAAUUCCCGGUGUAGAGGUGAAAUUCGUAGAUAUCGGGAGGAACACCAGUGGCGAAGGCGGCGAUCUGGGAAGACACUGACGCUGAGGUGCGAAAGCGUGGGGAGCAAACAGG